ACUGAGACCCGGCCCAGAUUCUCCGGGACGCAGCAGUGGGGAAUAUUGCACAAUGGGCGCAAGCCUGAUGCAGCGACGCGCGUGAGGGAUGAAGGCCUUCGGGUUGUAAACCUCUUUCAGCAGGGAAGAAGCGCAAGUGACGGUACCUGCAGAAGAAGCGCCGGCUAACUAUGUGCCAGCAGCCGCGGUAAUACGUAGGGCGCAAGCGUUGUCCGGAAUUAUUGGGCGUAAAGAGCUCGUAGGCGGUUUGUCGCGUCUGCUGUGAAAACUCGAGGCUCAACCUCGGGCUUGCAGUGGGUACGGGCAGACUAGAGUGCGGUAGGGGAGACUGGAAUUCCUGGUGUAGCGGUGGAAUGCGCAGAUAUCAGGAGGAACACCGAUGGCGAAGGCAGGUCUCUGGGCCGCAACUGACGCUGAGGAGCGAAAGCAUGGGGAGCGAACAGGAUUAGAUACCCUGGUAGUCCAUGCCGUAAACGUUGGGCACUAGGUGUGGGGCUCAUUCCACGAGUUCCGUGCCGCAGCAAACGCAUUAAGUGCCCCGCCUGGGGAGUACGGCCGCAAGGCUAAAACUCAAAGAAAUUGACGGGGGCCCGCACAAGCGGCGGAGCAUGCGGAUUAAUUCGAUGCAACGCGAAGAACCUUACCAAGGCUUGACAUACACCGGAAACUUCCAGAGAUGGUUGCCCCGCAAGGUCGGUGUACAGGUGGUGCAUGGUUGUCGUCAGCUCGUGUCGUGAGAUGUUGGGUUAAGUCCCGCAACGAGCGCAACCCUCGUCCUAUGUUGCCAGCGGGUCAUGCCGGGGACUCAUAGGAGACUGCCGGGGUCAACUCGGAGGAAGGCGGGACG
rnacentral:rRNA from 1 species